rnacentral:rRNA from 1 species
GCUUACGGCCACACCACCCUGAGCGCGCCCGAUCUCGUCUGAUCUCGGAAGCUAAGCAGGGUCGGGCCUGGUUAGUACUUGCAUGGGAGACCGCCUGGGAAUACCAGGUGCCGUAAGCU